UCCCCGAUGGCGCAAUUGGCUAGGCCCUCUGGCUGUUAAUCAGGAGGGUGAAGGUUUGAGCCCACCUCGGGAAG
rnacentral:tRNA from 1 species